AGAAUCAACGCUGGCGGCGUGCCUAACACAUGCAAGUCGAACGAGAAAGUGGGAGCAAUCCCACGAGUAAAGUGGCGCACGGGUGAGUAACACGUGACUAACCUACCCUUGAGUGGGGGAUAACCUAGGGAAAACCUGGGCUAAUACCGCAUAAUACCUACGGGUCAAAGGAGCAAUUCGCUUUAGGAGGGGGUCGCGGCAGAUUAGUUAGUUGGCGGGGUAAUGGCCCACCAAGACAGUGAUCUGUA
rnacentral:rRNA from 1 species